GAGAGAACCAGUAGGAAUUGGCUUCUAGAUUGGGCGGUGAAUAACACCUGUUAAGAUAGCUGGCCAUUUAUUUGCUAAGUGAGGUGAUGACCGAAUGAGAGGAGCUAAGAAAUUCAUUUGUGCUAGUUGGGCGGUGACCGAGAGGGAAGAAAGCCACAAUCUUUCCUUUUCCUUUGCUUACUAUGAACCGAGAGAGAAACACAAAAAGCCGCUACCAUUUCUCUUCCUACUCACCAAAAGCUGAGAUCCAUUCUUUCCCUGCAAUUUCUAAGCUUUAAUUAGGCAGCAAGGAAACACCGACUCAGUAGUUAGAACAUCGGGUAGGAGCAGAAAAUUGUUUCAGCCAAGAAACUGUGAGAAACUAGUACGUGUCAGUAGCCUUCCAUUUGACCGAGAGGAAGAGUAAAAGAAACAUAAUCUUUCUUUCUUCCUUAACCUAUUAAAACAGAAAAGAAACAACAAGAGAAUUAGGCACUUCCUUCGUCCCUUCAACCGUAAACGUCAACCAAGAAAACAAGGAAACUCUAGCUCAGUUAGCCACGGAUUCGAGAGGGAGAGAGAGCUGAACUUUCCAGUCCACAAACGUGAAGAAACCAGAGGUAGUUAACUACUUUUCUUCUUCAAUUUCCUGCUACUUCUAGUUAGUAAUGUUUUAGGUUGAGUUAUAACCAAGAAAAGAAUCAUCAAAGUCGGAAGUUUGUUUAAAGUUUCUGCAUGUUGUCCAAUAGAAAAGCUGCAAUUUUGGUUCUUUUUAAAAAAAAAAAAAGAAUUUGCUAGAUUAUCAGUAGAAUCCACGCUUUAUGCUCUGUAUAUUCUUAUUUGGUUACGCAUAUAAGUUCUGCGGUGAAAAACUUAACUCUUGUGGCUGGAAUUCUUGUUUGGAGGACUGCAUGGCUGCUGGAAAAUUUCCAACUUGCCCAUGAUGAAUUUUCUGGUUUAAAACUGGAAUUUGAUGAGAAGUUUUUGCUUGAUUUCAAACUUACAUAAUCUUAUUGCAAUGUUUAUGUGAAUGCAUGUCGAAUUUGGUUGAUAUUUGAUGCAUUAAAUGAAAUGUUAGUGAAGAUUUAUGGCCGAAAACUUCAACAUUGAACCUGAGAAUGCUGUUACGUUUUCUUAGACUUCGAUUUCAUCUUAUAACCUGAAAUUUAUGCAUAUAUUGAUCAAAUAACAUCCCUACUCCUCUGUUUUACUCUGUAUAUUGCGAUUGUCCUGAUUUGGGAGGAAAUAACUAAAUCUUAGGAAAGAAAUGAGAGCUGGUCAAGCAUGCGAAGCUGUUGGCAGAUUUGGGUUGAUUGGAUGAAUUCGAUUGUAAUACUGAGUUUUUCUGAAUUUUUUAGCUAAAUAUUAAUAAAAAAAAAACUAUCCAUAACUGAAUGAUAGUAAAAUGUACCUUGAAUUUGAGGAAGUUUAAAGAGGAAAAUAGCAAACAAAAGGAAAAAACUUGACUACCCAUUGCUGGAAAACUGUUUUGAACCAUUCUAAAAUAAGUGCUAAAAUUUUGAGUUUAACUUUGAAUUCUACAAUGGAACUUGAACCAAAACUAACCAAAACCUCCUCAAACUAUUUUAUAACAGUUUUACUUGUGAAAAUUCAUCCAAAAUAUAGGAUAAAAUCAAAGAAGUUCAUAGUAAUACUAAGUUGCCAAUCUCUAGAAAAUUUAUUAAUUUUGAAUUUUGAUUUCUAAAAUGACCUUUAGGACCUAGAUUCCAACUUUUAUAAGAAAAGAUAAGUACUAAGAUUACCUCAAAACAAAAGAAAUAAAAUCUUGGAUCAUACAUAUAGAUAUAUAUAUAUAUAUACACACACACUUUUAGCCAAUUGUGUCAUAUUAAGUUGAAUUUAGUUAAAAGAAUCAAGUAAGUCUAAACAGCUAGAAUAAUCACUUAAACCAUUAAUUUCACCAAGUAUUACAAUUCAACAUCACUUUAAGAAAAUUUUAACAAAUAAUCUAAUAAAUUUACAAAUAUCUCAGGAGUCGAGGGUGAAUCGGAUGAGAGACCGAGCACCGAGAAGUGAAUUUCAACUACUUUGGGUGAGUGUUUCCGAUUUUAUGUGUUCAACUGCUUAUGUGUACUUAAGUGAAAUUGUGUGACAAAUGUACUUAUUAUGAAAUAUUGUUAUGUGAUUCAUUGUAAAAUAUAUCUCAAUUGUCCCUCGCCUUCUAAGUCGAGGGUGUACUUUAUCGCACUCAACUUAGUUAAGCUUGAAGGUUGAUAAUUAAUCAAGUGAUAUUGUAAGUGUGCAUGACUGUAAGCCGUGUAUGUACUUUAUCACACUGGCCAAACUAGGCCCAGAACCCUCUGUUCAACGAACUAUUCGAGCCAGCAAAGGGCUUGGUCGAGUAGGAUGGUAACUUUGGGUAAGUGUUUCGAUAUGCUCGAGUAUUACCACGGAGUAGCAGAUUACUGAUAUUGAUAUGGCCAUCUAAAUGAGGGAAGUGUUUAUUGUUUUGAAGGGUAUAAUGAGGAGUUGAGUGGAGUGUGUAACAUCCUGAAUAUUAGGAGGUUGUUUGUGAAGAAAAUAUUAAAGUGUAUUUCUUUGGGUUUGAUUUAAAACCUAAUUUUGUUUUAAAAGAUUAGAAACCCUAAAAUUGUAGCCAAAAAACCCUAGUUUACUUUUGACUAACCGGUUUUCCUAAAUCUCUCCUAUUUUAAUUGAAACCCUAAUUUUAAUUACUGGAGUUGGAAAAUUCCUCACAUUUUCUUAAAAAUUUCCUUUUAGUUGAAAAUUUUCAUCUAUUAAAGCCCUACUAUCCAAUUAUUCCAUAAUAAGUGCAAAUGAAUCUAGAAAGUAGGGUUUUAUUCCUCGGUUUCAAGUUUGGAGCAAAAUUAGGGUUUUCGCGAUUUUCCGCCGGAUGAAUUUUCGAUACGGAGCAAGGACCAAAUUGGGUGAUUAAAAGUGACUUUUAAGUGAGAAAUAAUAUGUGAGUAGUAGCAAUGAUAUAAGGUUAGUGAAUGGGAAGUAAAAACACUAGUACGUGAGUUUUUAAGAAAAACGGCGCGAACCGGCGGGUCCCGCGCGCUACCGAUUGAACGCACCACUUGACCACCACUUUCUUACCCUACAAGCUCAUUGAUAAUUGAGCAAAAUAUCCUCUCACUACCAGAUAAGUCUGACCGAAAAUUGUGGCUCAAAGGCAAGGAAAGAAAGAGAAAAUUUUGUGGCCAAGAUUAGUCCAAGUGUUGGCAAAAAUUGUGGUCACAAUUAGCCCUAAUCUUCUUACUUCCUUAUAAGACAAACCAAGCUCCAUCUUCCUUCAUUUUUCUGCUAAGGAGCCGAGAGAGAGAGAGAGUAAGAACAAGAGAAAAUUUCUUCAUUUCACCUUCAAAUCCAACAACUUAGUGAGAAAAUAAACAAAGUAAACCGAUUAAACUUGUUCUUGAGUGACUAGGUGGUGAUUUGUGGUAAGUUUUUGGAAGGAGGAAGCUUGGGCUACUCUUUGUGUCCUCUAUUCAAGGUAAGAGAGCUUAUCUUUCUAAGUUUUGCUUUCAAUUUUGUUAAAUUAAGUUUAGUAGUUGAUUAUAGUGGUGGAAUCAUGGAUGAUUAGCAUGUUUUAGAAGUUUUUCCCCAAUUUAUUUGAUGAACUAGGGCUUGUGGAAAUUCUGCCCAAAUUUAUUGUAUGAUGCUUAUAUGUUGAAUUAAGAUUAUAAGAGAGGUUUUGGUAGUGUUUGAAGUGGGAAAUUAAGGAAAGUUCCACUAGAAACAAAAAAUUCCAGAUUUCUGGAAAUUCUUGCUUCCUUUCUGUCCGAAUUUGUAUCUGUGUGUUAGAGGCCGAAUUUGCCUUAGGUCAAAGAAGAAAAGUUGUAUAGAAUGACAUUUUAUAGGUGCCUACAAAAUUUCAGCUCAAUCGGAGCAACGUAGGAUGUGAAAAGUCCAAAAUACCCUUACUGUUUUAAAUAUUUCCCAGCAGUCCGUUUCAUCAGUUAAGUCCAGUUUAUCACGUUUUUUGACUAGGAUCCGUACUGAUUUAGCUCUGGGCCAAAACAUGAAAGUUGUAUUAUUCUUAAUUGGCUUUAAAAUGCAUCUAAAAACACCUAAUUCGGACUUGUGUACACUGAGUUAUGUUCAUUACAGUGUUCUGCGUUUAAACAGCCGACGAAUUGGUUUCUGGUUUAGUAAUUCGAGAAUUUGACUAAGUUACAUUAGGAACUGGACUAAGUGACCUUCAUGAAUAUUGUAGCUCUGUGUCUUAGCUUCGAAACGGCGUAGGUUUCGUUUUAAUCCGAUAAGCGUAGCCUCGGAUAUGUUAUUUCUGCUUUUGUACGUCAAAUCUGUUUUGAACUAAAUUGAAUUUCUGCACUUGUACUUAAUACGAUUCUUGUUAUUAUGAUAUUGUGAGCCUAUGGAACGGCUCUUGACAUGAAUUGCUGAUAUGUAUAAUGUUGGGUUGUGUUUGAGAAAAACAAUGAAGCCUAAAAGGCUGGAAAAUUAGGUAAACACAAAGGGCAUGCUGCCCGAAUUUUUACUCGAGGACUAGAAAACUAUAUUAGCGACUUGAGUGAAGGUUAAGUACUUAUUACUUGAACUAGCGAGAACCUUGGCCACUAUGUUUCUUGAGUGUUAUACGUUAGGACUUGGACGAACUUGUACCCUUGAGAAAUGAAAUAAUGAUUGCUCGAAGUAUGUUUUCCUUGUACUUUCAACUCGCAAGACAAUUUCAAGUAUAAAUAUUACAAAGUUUUACUGUUUAAAAAGGCGAGCAAGUGUUUCACGACUACUGUCCGAGUGAAUUUCAAUUUCUUGAUUCUUAUUGAACGAAACGUCUAAGUUUCGAACUCUAGUCAUGUUUCAAAGUUCUCAAAUUGAGUUUUAUCGCAGAUUUGGACUCCGAACUCGGAGUAUAACCUGAGAGUGACCAGUAAAAGCACUAUAUCUUUUGGUGAGUGCUUUCAAAUACUGAAUUGAACUUGAUACUUGUACUUGAUACGUGCCAAUAUGAUUACAUGCCAUAUGCGUGAAUUGUUAGGGCAAGAGUGUACUUUAUCGCACUUGCCCUUACAUGAUAUAUACUUGUUUAUUGUUGCAAUUGACUUGACAUACUUGUUAUGAUGCGCGCACUUCCUGGAAUUCCAGAAACCCUGUGGCAAGUUACUCUAGUCGAGCCGGCAGGGGCUUGGUCGGUUGGGUAACGAGCCCUGGGUCUCUUGCUUUGUCGAGUGGAGUGAUAUCUCCUCGACUAAUUGGUAUACUCGAGUAUUACCACCCGUGUUUAUUGAGGAUUUUGGGCCCAGUAGGGGGUGUGAAUGGUGGACGGAGAGUAGUGUAAGUGGUGUUCUACUGGAUUGGUUCCUUUACUUGAAAGUUGACGGAGUGUCAACUACUAUGUGAUCAAGCCCUGAUGAUGAAUGGAAGUUGGCUCCUGAGAGCCAUCCGUAUCCUUAUGCUUUGGAAUGAUUAUUGUUUAUUGGAUUAUUGUUUCUUCUGAAAACUUUUACACUCGCUCAUUUUGAGAUUGCUACUUGAAGUGUUAUUGCUCACUUUAUGAACUUUCAUGCUCGUUACUUUGCUAUAUCGAAAACUAGUACUUAUAAAUAAUGGUCAAUUUGCUAUUUGGAACCUCACUGGGCUUUUAGCUCACACCACGCUAUUUGUUUUCCUUACAGGGGUACGAGUGAGCGUGAGACUGUAAAGACUAGCGUAGCUAGUUUUGUUUUGACUUUUUUUGACUUUGGUUUGUACUCGCGCUAUUCCUCGAAUGGAACAUGUUUGUACUUGGAUUGUAUAUUUUUGAACUAGUUUGUAUAUCGGCUUUGUACCUCGAUUUCUAUCAAUGUAAAUUAUAAGCUUGAAUUGCGAAUUUAUUUAUGGUAUGUGUGUGUGCACGUGAUUCGAGUGAGUGAGUCCUGGCGAGAGCUGGGCAGGCGGUCCGCCGAACCCUCUGGUACGCCUUAGGGGGAGGUGGGGUCGUCACAGAUGGUAUCAGAGCUCCUAUUGAGCUCGUGCCGGGAGAGGGUUCUCGGACUGUGGGGAUUGACUUGUUAAGUAUGGAACAAUUGUCUAUUGUUGGGAACCUUAGAUAUGUAUGUUGGGUAGGAAUCUCUAAUACGGGUGAUUUGCUCUUGAGCCUGGCCAGCUUGAGUGGUGAAUUAUCAUAUUUUUGGAUUCUUGUCCCCGAAUACCAAAGAGUGACAUCUUUACGAUCAGUUGAGAUCUCGUGUAAUAUUCGGAUAAGUUUGGAUGGUGAAAAAGGCACAGGGAAUGCGAGUAGUCUGGACUUGAAAAAUAUUGAAAUAUUCAUGGGAUUUGGGAUCCUUCUUAUUCACGUGUUUCGAGCCUUGAUUAAGUGUAGUGCCUGAGCGAUACCUAGGGUUAAUGCUCUAUAAGCUAUGUGACUUGUUUUGAUCGAAUGUGUUGUAUUGCCUUGUUUUAUGAUUUAGAGGGGUUUAUGAUUUGCAUUAUUCUGUUUUGUGCUGUUGAUAUUUAUAUAGUUACUUAGUGGCUAUAUUCUAUUAUUGAUUAGUUGGUUAUAUUGUUAUAGUUGAUUCGCUACGCUACGAACUGGAGGGUAGAAGAAGUCAAGCUAGGGGAACUAAUCGAGGACGCGGUCCUAGUCGUAGCCGUGGGGGUAGACAAGCCCAGGAACCGGUACGAGAAUCGAGAGAGGAAAGAGAGGCAACGGUUGAGCCACAACCUGAACCCCAAGCUACAGGGGGAGAUCAAGUGGCAACUGCCAUCCAGCAAAUGACUAAUAUUCUGGCCCGUUUAGUGGAACAACAGGGUCAAGCCCCUGUAAACCAACCUCGGGACCCCGAUAUGGGGCAGGAUAGAGCUUUGGAGAGAUUCCAAAAGUUCUCCCCACCCAAGUUUUUAGGAGGGCCAGACCCGUAUGAGGCUGAGAAAUGGCUGGAGGCCAUGAUAAAUAUUUUUGCUGCCCUAAACUAUACGGAGGAGAGACAAGUCCAAUUCGCUGUAUUUCAGUUCGAGGGGCCAGCUAGGGCCUGGUGGAAUGUAGUGAGGGCCAAGUGGGAGAGAGAAGGAACUGCAUGGACUUGGCUAAACUUUGUACGGGACUUCAACGAAAAAUACCUUCCACCCAUCGUCCAGGAGAAGAGAGAGGACGAAUUCAUUAAACUCCGUCAGGGGAUGUUGAGUGUAACUGAGUAUGAGACUCAGUUUACAAAGUUGUCCAAAUUUGCUCCCGAACUGAUAGCUACGGAACAAAGAAAAGUACGGAGGUUCAUACAAGGACUGAACGUGGAGUUACAAGAAGCCUUAGCGGCGGUCCAAAUUAAUACAUUCACAGAGGUUCUGGAGAAAGCCUUGAGGAUAGAGACUGCUAGGGCACAAGUGAGAGCUUUCCAUGCAAAAAGGAGAGGUGCGCCUGGUGGAAGUCAAAGGCAAGGACAAAGUGAUUUAGAUAUGCCACCUUCUAAGUUAGGUCGAGAAGAUGGUAGUGAGAAAAUUUCAAGGGGUUAAGGAAAGUACUCCAAGAGGAGCUUCGCGUGGCUGGGGCCAAGCAAGAGGUACCUCACAAGGAGGUCAGACCUCAGCCCCUCAAGUAUCUUGUGGGUACUGUGGGAAGGCCAAUCACGUGGAGAGUGAUUGUUGGCGAAAAGCGGGAAAAUGUUUAUGGUGUGGUAGCACCGAGCACCAGCUUGCAACCUGUCCCCGUAGAUCACGCCUAAACCCUGAACAAGCAAGUGUAGGAGGAACUAAGCCAAGAGUGCCGGCUAGAGCGUAUGCCUUGAACCAACAGGCAGUACCUGAACCAACAGAGAUAGUAGAAGGUACGAUUCGUAAUUUCUAUUGUUUAACUAAGUUUUGGCUAUAGUGCGACCUGAGAGCCGGAAACGAAUAUAUAAGGAAAUACCCUACGUUAUUCGAAGUGCAUGUAUGAAUUUCGAGGACGAAAUUCUUUUAAGGAGGGGAGAUUGUAACAUCCCGAAUAUUAGGAGGUUGUUUGUGAAGAAAAUAUUAAAGUGUAUUUCUUUGGGUUUGAUUUAAAACCUUUUGUUUUAAAAGACUAGAAACCCUAAAAUUUAGUCAAAAACCCUAGUUUACUUUGACUAACCGGUUUUCCUAAAUCUCUCCUAUUUUAAUUGAAACCCUAAUUUUAAUUACUGGAAUUGGAAAAUUCCUCACGUUUUCUUAAAAAUUUCCUUUUAGUUGAAAAUUAUCAUUUAUUAAAGCCCUACUAUCCAAUUAUUCCAUAAUAAGUGCAAAUGAAUCUAGAAAGUAGGGUUUUAUUCUUCGGUUUCAAGUUUGGAGCAAAAUUAGGGUUUUCGCGAUUUUCCGCCGGAUGAAUUUUCGGUACGGAGCAAGGACCAAAUUGGGUGAUUAAAAGUGACUUUUAAGUGAGAAAUAAUAUGUGAGUAGUAGCAAUGAUAUAAGGUUAGUGAAUGGGAAGUAAAAACCCUAGUACGUGAGUUUUUAAGAAAAACGGCGCGAACCGGCGGGUCCCGCGCGCUACCGAUUGAACGCACCACUUGACCACCAUUUUUCUUACCAAACAAGCUUAUUGAUAAUUGAGCAAAAUAUCCUCUCACUACAGCUAAGCUGACCGAAAUUGUGGCUCAAAGCAAGGGAAAGAAAGAGAAAAUUUUGUGGCCAAGAUUAGUCCAAGUGUUGGCAAAAUUGUGGACACAAUUAGCCUAAUCUUCUUACUUCCUUAUAAGACAAACUCCAUUUCCUUCAUUUUUCUGCUAAGGAGCCGAGAGAGAGAGAGAGGGAAGAACAAGAGAAAAUUUCUUCAUUUCACUUCAAAUCCAACAACUUAGUGAGAAAAUAAACAAAGUAAACCGAUUAAACUUGUUCUUGAGUGACUAGGUGGUGAUUUGUGGUAAGUUUUUGGAAGGAGGAAGCUUGGGCUACUCUUUGUGACCUCUAUUCAAGGUAAGAGAGCUUAUCUCUCUAAGUUUUGCUUUCAAUUUUGUUAAAUUAAGUUUAGUAGUUUGAUUAUAGUGGUGGAAUCAUGGAUGAUUAGCAUGUUUUAGAGGUUUUUCCCCAAUUUAUUUGAUGAACUAGGGCUUGUGGAAAUUCUGCCCAAAUUUUAUUGUAUGAUGCUUAUAUGUUGAAUUAGGUUAUAAGAGAGGUUUUGGUAGUGUUUGAAGAAAUUAAGGAAAGUUCCACUAGAAACUAAAAUUUCAGAUUUCUGGAAAUUCUUGCUUCCAUUCUGUCCGAAUUUUAUCUGUGUGUUAGAGGCCGAAUUGGCCUUAGGUCAAAGAAGAAAAGUUGUAGAGAAUGACAUUUUAUAGGUGCCUACAAAAUUUCAGCUCAAUCGGAGCAACGUAGGAUGUGAAAAGUCCAAAAUACCCUUACUGUUUUAAAUAUUUCCCAGCAGUCCGUUUCAUCAGUUAAGUCCAGUUUAUCACGUUUUUUGACUAGGAGCCGUACUGAUUUAGCUCUGGCCAAAACAUGAAAGUUGUAGUAUUCUGAAUUGGCUUUAAAAUGCAUCUAAAAACCUAAUUCGGACUUGUGUACACUGAGUUAUGUUCAUUACAGUGUUCUGCGUUUAAACAGCCGACGAAUUGGUUUCUGGUUUAGUAAUUCGAGAAUUUGACUAAGUUACAUUAGGAACUGGACUAAGUGACCUUCAUGAAUAUUGUAGCUCUGUGUCUUAGCUUCGAAACGGCAUAGGCGUUUUAAAUCCGAUAAGCGUAGCCUCAGAUAUGUUAUUUCCGCAUUUGUACGUCAAAUCUGUUUUGAACUAAAUUGAAUUUCUGCACUUGUACUUAAUACGAUUCUUGUUAUUAUGAUAUUGUGAGCCUAUGGAACGGCUCUUGACAUGAAUUGCUGAUAUGUAUAAUGUUGGGUUGUGUUUGAGAAAAACAAUGAAGCCUAAAAGGCUGGAAAAUUAGGUAAACACAAAGGGCAUGCUGCCCGAAUUUUUACUCGAGGACUAGAAAACUAUAUUAGCGACUUGAGUGAAGGUUAAGUACUUAUUACUUGAACUAGCGAGAACCUUGGCCACUAUGUUUCUUGAGUGUUAUACGUUAGGACUUGGCGAACUUGUACCCUUGAGAAAUGAAAUAAUGAUUGCUCGAAGUAUGUUUUCCUUGUACUUUCACUCGCAUGACAAUUUCAAGUAUAAAUAUUACAAAGUUUUACUGUUUAAAAAGGCGAGCAAGUGUUUCACGACUACUGUCCGAGUGAAUUUCAAUUUCUUGAUUCUUAUUGAACGAAACGUCUAAGUUUCGAACUCUAGUCAUGUUUCAAAGUUCUCAAAUUGAGUUUUAUCGCAGAUUUGGACUCCGAACUCGGAGUAUAACCUGAAAGUGACCAGUAAAGCACUAUAUCUUUUGGUGAGUGCUUUCAAAUACUGAAUUGAACUUGAUACUUGUACUUGAUACGUGCCAAUAUGAUUACAUGCCACAUGCGUGAAUUGUUAGGGCAAGAGUGUACUUUAUCGCACUUGCCCUUACAUGAUAUAUACUUGUUUAUUGUUGCAAUUGACUUGACAUACUUGUUAUGAUGCGCGCACUUCCUGGAAUUCCAGAAACCCUGUGGCAGUUACUCUAGUCGAGCCGGCAGGGGCUUGGUCGAUUGGGUAACGAGCCCUGGGUCUCUUGCUUUGUCGAGUGGAGUGAUAUCUCCUCGACUAAUCGGUAUACUCGAGUAUUACCACCCGUGUUUAUUGAGGAUUUUGGGCCCAGUAGGGGGUGUGAAUGGUGGACGGAGAGUAGUGUAAGUGGUGUUCUACUGGAUUGGUUUUACUUGAAAGUUGACGGAGUGUCAACUACGUGAUCAAGCUCCUGAUGAUGAAUGGAAGUUGGCUCCUGAGAGCCAUCCGUAUCCUUAUGCUUUGGAUGAUUAUUGUUUAUUGGAUUAUUGUUUCUUCUGAAAACUUUUACACUCGCUCAUUUUGAGAUUGCUACUUGAAGUGUUAUUGCUCACUUUUAUGAACUCUUCAUGCUCGUUACUUUGCUAUAUCGAAAACUAGUACUUAUAAAUAAUGGUCAAUUUGCUAUUUGGAACCUCACUGGGCUUUUAGCUCACACCACGCUAUUUGUUUUCCUUACAGGGGUACGAGUGAGCGUGAG
rnacentral:lncRNA from 1 species